GUGGCAGGGUAGCCUAGUGGUUAGAGUGUAGAGGCGGCAGGGUAGCCUAGUGGUUAGAGUGGAGGGGCGUCAGGGUAGCCUAGUGGUUAGAGUGUAGAGGCGGCAGGGUAGCCUAGUGGUUAGAGUGUAGAGGCGGCAGGGUAGCCUAGUGGUUAGAGUGUAGAGGCGGCAGGGUAGCCUAGUGGUUAGAGUGUGGAGGCGGCAGGGUAGCCUAGUGGUUAGAGUGUAGAGGCGGCAGGGUAGCCUAGUGGUUAGAGUGUGGAGGCGGCAGGGUAGCCUAGUGGUUAGAGUGUGGAGGCGGCAGGGUAGCCUAGUGGUUAGAGUGUAGAGGCGGCAGAGUAGCCUAGUGGUUAGAGUGUAGAGGCGGCAGGGUAGCCUAGUGUUUAGAGUGUAGAGGCGGCAGGGUAGCCUAGUGGUUAGAGUGUAGAGGCGGCAGGGUAGCCUAGUGGUUAGAGUGUAGAGGCGGCAGGGUAGCCUAGUGGUUAGAGUGUAGAGGUGGCAGGGUAGCC
ensembl:lncRNA